AUAACACUUAGAAAUAGGUGCUAAUACCGCAUAAGCGCACAGAGCCGCAUGGCUCAGUGUGAAAAACUCCGGUGGUGUAAGAUGGAUCCGCGUCUGAUUAGCUGGUUGGCGGGGUAGAAGCCCACCAAGGCGACGAUCAGUAGCCGGCCUGAGAGGGUGAACGGCCACAUUGGGACUGAGACACGGCCCAAACUCCUACGGGAGGCAGCAGUGGGGAAUAUUGCACAAUGGGGGAAACCCUGAUGCAGCAACGCCGCGUGAGUGAAGAAGUCAUUCGUGAUGUAAAGCUCUAUCAGCAGGGAAGAAAAUGACGGUACCUGAGUAAGAAGCCCCGGCUAACUACGUGCCAGCAGCCGCGGUAAUACGUAGGGGGCAAGCGUUAUCCGGAUUUACUGGGUGUAAAGGGAGCGUAGACGGCCAGACAAGUCUGAAGUGAAAAUCCAGCGCUUAACGUUGGAAGUGCUUUGGAAACUGCCGGGCUAGAGUGCAGGAGGGGCAGGCGGAAUUCCUAGUGUAGCGGUGAAAUGCGUAGAUAUUAGGAGGAACACCAGUGGCGAAGGCGGCCUGCUGGACUGCAACUGACGUUGAGGCUCGAAGGCGUGGGGAGCAAACAGGAUUAGAUACCCUGGUAGUCCACGCGGUAAACGAUGAUUACUGGGUGUCGGGGGGCUAGAGCCCUUCGGUG
rnacentral:rRNA from 1 species